CCUACGGGAGGCUGCAGUGGGGAAUAUUGGACAAUGGGGGGAACCCUGAUCCAGCCAUGCCGCGUGUGUGAAGAAGGCCCUCGGGUUGUAAAGCACUUUCAGUGAGGAAGAACGCCUGGUGGUUAAUACCCAUCAGGAAAGACAUCACUCACAGAAGAAGCACCGGCUAACUCCGUGCCAGCAGCCGCGGUAAUACGGAGGGUGCGAGCGUUAAUCGGAAUUACUGGGCGUAAAGCGCGCGUACGUGGCUUGAUAAGCCGGUUGUGAAAGCCCCGGGCUCAACCUGGGAACGGCAUCCGGAACUGUCAAGCUAGAGUGCAGGAGAGGAAGGUAGAAUUCCCGGUGUAGCGGUGAAAUGCGUAGAGAUCGGGAGGAAUACCAGUGGCGAAGGCGGCCUUCUGGACUGACACUGACACUGAGGUGCGAAAGCGUGGGUAGCAAACAGGAUUAGAUACCCCAGUAGUC
rnacentral:rRNA from 1 species